rnacentral:tRNA from 1 species
UGGUAGUUUAGUGGUAGAAUUCCUGCCUUCCAUGUAGGAGACCCGGAUUCAAUUCCCAGCCA